UCAGAAACUACAAAGGAAUUGACGGGGCCCGCACAAGCGGUGGAGCAUGUGGUUUAAUUCGAUGAUACGCGAGGAACCUUACCUGGGCUCGAACGUAAGAUGACUGUAGGUGAAAGCUUACAUCUCUUCGGAGCAUUUUACGAGGUGCUGCAUGGUUGUCGUCAGCUCGUGCCGUGAGGUGUCGGGUUAAGUCCCAUAACGAGCGCAACCCCUACCUUUAGUUGCCAUCAGGUUAAGCUGGGGACUCUAAAGGAACUGCCUACGCAAGUAGUGAGGAAGGCGGGGAUGACGUCAAAUCAGCACGGCCCUUACGUCCAGGGCUACACACGUGCUACAAUGGCCGAUACAGAGGGCAGCUACCUGGUGACAGGAUGCAAAUCUCCAAAGUCGGUCUCAGUUCGGAUCGGAGUCUGCAACCCGACUCCGUGAAGUUGGAUUCGCUAGUAAUCGCGCAUCAGCCAUGGCGCGGUGAAUACGUUCCCGGGCCUU
rnacentral:rRNA from 1 species